rnacentral:rRNA from 1 species
GUCCACGCCGUAAACGAUGCUCACUCGCUGUUUGCGAUACACAGCAAGCGGCCAAGCGAAAGCAUUAAGUGAGCCACCUGGGGAGUACGAUCGCAAGGUUGAAACUCAAAGGAAUUGACGGGGGGCCCGCACAAGCGGAGGAACAUGUGGUUUAAUUCGAUGAUACGCGAGGAACCUUACCUGGGCUUAAAUGUAGAACGACAGAUUGUGAAAGCAGUCCUUCUUCGGACGUUUUUACAAGGUGCUGCAUGGUUGUCGU